rnacentral:lncRNA from 1 species
UCAUCUAGCAUGUGCAUCACCUCAAAAUAGCACAACGAUGUGAAAUCCGGGGUUUCAAACCUUUAAGACAAUAUUUACAACCAUUACUUACCUCUAUCCGGUCCAAACUCUAGCCCACGAUACCUUUGCCUCCCGAAUCAGUCUCCAAUUGCUCCGAAUCUAACCAAAAUCAGUUCCACAUCAUUAAUACACGCUAAAGGAACAAAGCCCAAGCGAAAAUAAUCGAAUUAACUCAAAAAUCCCGAAAUUGGCCAAACCGGCCCCUGGGACCACUUCUCGGAAUCCAAUAAAAAUCAUAUCAAUAGAAUCCUCAUCCUCUCACGAGUCUAAACAUACUAAGAACAUCAAAAUCGGACCUCAAAUAACCCCUCAAAUCCCAAAUUCCACUCUCCAAUGUUUCUUCAAAUUUUCAUCCCAAUUUCCCAAAUUAAAUGACAAAAAUUAAGACAAAAUCAUGGUAUUAAAUCAAAUUUGGGUGAAGAAUACUUACCCCAAUCCAUUCUCUGAAAAUCCCCUUCAAAAUCGUCUUCUCCCGAGCUCCAUAACUCCGAAAUGCAAAAAUGGCCGAAAUCCUCAAAAUAGAGUACUUUAUAAAGCUGCCCAGGCCUCAUCUUUAGCGAACGCGGGACGACCAUUGCGUCCGCGAUGAAGAAAAAAUACCAGCUCCCAAAAUGCUCUACACGUUCGCGACACAAGCCACACGAACGCAAUACCUACUGGGUACAUAACUACGCGAACACGACAUCCAAAGCGCGAACCUGAAGAACACAACAUCACAACAUCGCGAACGUGACACCCAAAGCACGAACACCCUUCGCGAACGGUAGUCCCUGACCGCAAACGCGAAGAACAAAUCGUCUGCAACAAAAACUAGCAAAAACUGCCAAGUCCAAAGUUCAAAAUUGAUCCGUUUACCAUCCGAAACUCACCCGAGGCCCUCGGGACCUCAACCAAACAUGCCAACAUAUCCCAUAUCGUCAUUCAAACUUGUUCCAACUUUCGGAACGCUCAAAACAGCAUCAAAACAUCAAAUCAUCAUCGGAUCCAAGCCUAAGAAUCCCAAAAACUUCCGAAUUCCGAAUUCGAUCAAAAAGUCUAUCAAAUGAUACCAUGGACCUAUUCCAACUUCCGGAAUUCCAUUCUGACCCCGAUAUCAAAUCUCGCCUAUCAACCGGAAAACGCCAAAAUCCCAAUUUCGCCAAUUCGAGCCUAAACCUUCCGCGGACCUCCAAAAUACAUUCCGAUCAUGCUCCUAAGUCCCAAAUCACCUAACGGAGCUAACCAAAUCAUAAAAAUUCUAAUCCGGGAUCAUACACUAACAAGUCAAACCUUGGUCAAACCUUUCAAAUUUUAAGCUUCAAACUGAGAGUUGUUCUUCCAGAUUCAUUCCGAUUACCCUGAAAACCAAAACCGAUGAUUACAUAAGUCAUAAUACAUCACACGGGGCUAAUCUUACCCGAGAACUGACGAGCAGAAAAUAAAAGUUCAAAACGAUCGGUCAGGUCGUUACAAUUACUACUUAUAUAAAGGUAGAAACUAAUAACUUACAUUAGGAAGAAGAGUUAUGGUACGACAGGAUCACCAUUCUCCUCCCACGACAUAAAUUUAAUAUUGAAUCGUAUUCGCCUCAUUUACUAUCUGCAAAUCACUGAGAACAUAUUUCUACUCAAUCCAGGCUUAUUCAUAAUUUCAAAUAAAUUUAUUUGAAACAGCCUCUGCAUAUUAAUUGCAAACCAAUUAUUAUUCUAGUCAUAUUAAAGAAGUACCACUGCUGAAAGAAAUUGUUGAUCAAGCGUGUACAACAGAAAAGGAUCAAAACUUCAGAGUUUGCAUAGAACAAUUCAUCAGUUAAAGCCUCAUUAAGCUCUCAUAUACAUUCAAAUCCGACUGUCAAAAAAAUUAUCACACAAUAAAAACCAAACAACUGAAGAAAUAUCAGAACUAACAAUUUCAUCAAUCAAGCAAGUAAAACUACAAAGGUCAGCACCAACCAUUAAAUAUUGCAAUAACAUUUUCAAAACUUACAAAAAAUAAUUUUAUAAAAAACUUAAAUUUUCACAUUGUUGCAUAAAACUUUUUAUGUCAAGAUCAGCACAACGUUUCUUAAAUUAACCACAAUCAUGCGAAACCAAAAACUUACUUCAUAAGGUAUGAAAAUAUUUUAGAAUCUUAGUACAAAACCAACAAUAGCAAAAUAGUUAAUUUGAAAUUAUAAAAAUUACUCAAUAGAUAUGAACCUCAUCGCGACUGUUAUCGAUUAUUUCUUUCAUCCAUAAAAUCUCCAAAAAUGACACAUGUUAGUAUUCACAAAUUACUUGACUUCAUGGGGUUGAUCUUCACUUUGGGGCUAGCAGACGUGACUAUCUCAUCAUGAGUAGAUGUUUUGAACACAAGAACCUUCAUGUUAGUAGCCUUAUUGAAGAAACUUUCAAGAAUAUUGAAUGUCUUCUUUGUUGAUCAUUCUUAAAGGAGAAGCGAAGACUUAAGGCAUUACCUCAUUAUAGGGAAACCACCGAUCACCAGAGAAUUGACUUUCGGUUGAAUAACUUUGGCAUUGGAUCCUUUUUAUCAUCCGCAAUUUCAUGAUAUGGAUUUGGAAUUUCCUAAUAUUUCAAGUGCAUCAUGGUAGCUUGAUAUUGAACUCAAAUUGUAAAUCUAUAGAAGUGCAAGCGAAAGAAAAUGAAAGCGUUAAAAUAAAAAAUACUAUAUAUCAAAAAGAGACGAUGCACCAGCAAAAUAUAAUUUUUGCUGUGAGAAAGCGCAAAGUUGUUAAAAGCACAACGACAAAAAUCAAAAUUGAGCUCAAAAAAAUAUCUGUAUAAAUUUAUAGAGAAUCUUAACCUAAUUUUUGUAUAUAUUGUAGCUCCACAAGUUCUAUUUCCAACGGCACAAACAGAUCAUAGUUUUGACGUGUUUGCAGAAAGAUAUGAUUUUUUUAGUGAGGACGCGUAAAGAUAUGAAAAUCAGAAUACCAAUAUUUUUGAAAUAGAUUCAAAAGUAUAUAUUUAUAAAUAUACAAAGAAUCUGGAUUUGUUUUCUGUAUAUGUUUUAGUUCUAGAAGUGCUCUUUUCAAUGGCACAAGCAAAUUAUGAUUUUGAUGCGUCUACAAAGAGAUAUAACUUUUUUCCGUCGAGACGCGUUGUUUCCAAAAAAUUUCAUUGAAUUAUUUGAGGACAGAAGGAUUGGGAAGAAAGGAAGUGCAAAGAACAGAGAAGCGGUGUGUACCUCUUCUGUGACCUAACUUCAUGAGGUUGAUCUAACGAUGUAUCUCCACGCCAAAACUUUUAAAAGAAUUGCUUCUUAAAGUUACACAUGUUCAACAACCAAUAAGAGAAAAUACUUCUGCAGAAAC